GAUUCCGUAGCUCAGCCGGGAGAGCGCUACCUUGACAGGGUAGAGGUCGCUGGUUCGAUCCCAGUCGGAAUCA
rfam:Bacillus sp. SA2-6 scf7180000001097, whole genome shotgun sequence.